AUGAAUGUAUUUUCAGACGGGGAUUCUGCUAGUGUGGAAAAGAAAGAUUCUGAUGAUGCACCUGAUGAUGCAAAUAAAACCUCUACAGAAGACACAGAUGAUUCAUCUGACAAGGAUUCUUCAGACACAGAUGAGCAGCAGGACUCUGAUGAUUCUGCAGAUUCUGACAAAGACAAAACAGAUGGAAACUUAGAUGAAAAGAGUGGCGAGAAAAAGGAGAAAGACACCAGUAAUGACUCCAGUAAAGACUCAGAAGACGAGGGUCGAGAAAGCUCUGAGACGCCAGACAAAAGCGACACAGACAGCGACUCAGACACUGAUGAGGUGAAAGUUUCAGACGACUCCAAAAACCAGGAUUCAGAAUCGAAAGACACUGACAGCACAGAGAAGAAAGAGAAAGACCAGGACUCUGACAGCGACGCAGACACCAGCAGCGUUCAAGACACGACAGAUUUCCCUGAGGACAGCGCCGAGGAUAAAGACAAGGACAGCAGGGACCCGAAAGACAAUGAAGAUGAUGGAGACAGGGAGAAGGAUGCCAAUGAGAAGGAGGAGACCAAUGAGACUGGCAGCGACAGCAUUGAGGAAAAAGAUAAAGAGGACGAAUCCAAACCAGACGAACAGGACAAGGAAGACACCACCUCAAAAGAAGACGCCGCAACCAGUCAGUCUGAUGAAAGUCCACUGGAGGAAAUGACAGAAGACAAGCAGGAAGACAAACCUGAUUCUGACAGCUCCAGUCUGGACUCAAAUUCAGACACGGACUCUGACAGCAAAGAAAAAGAGCAGGACAAAGACAAAGACAAGAACAGCACAGAGUCCACAGACACAGAUAGCUCUGACAGCAGCAGCAAGAGCGACACAGACAGCUUAGAAACAGGAGGGGAAGAUACUGAUGAAGACAAUGACUCCAGCGUGGAAAAGGAGAAACAGGAUGACCAUGACAACGACUCAACAGAUGCUACGACAUCAAAUGAACACACUGAUGAAAACACUGAUGCAGACAGCCAUGAUGUUGCAGACGAUGAUGAUGACACUGAUGUCCAUGAUGAUGCAGUUGGGGUUGAAGACGGCACAGACGUCGCUUCUAAAACACACGAUGAACCAGAUCAUCUUGAUGACACAACUCAAGAUUUUUCCUGGAGAGACGUAAAAAGAAUCACCUGAGACAGUCAAGAUAACCAGAGUUUCACAUCCCAUUAAAACACAUUGACACGUCCCUCUCGUCCUUUCUUUCUCUCUCUCUCGUAUGGUGAAGGUUCCUUUCUAAGGGUUCUGGGAUGCAGAUUAAAUUAUUCGGCUGUUUGCUGUACAUUCCUUUUUUUUUUUUUUUACUUUGUCCUAACUCUAAAACUUUUGUAUCUUUUGAUAUAUUAAUUUUACCAAUUUUAGAUGGAAAUGCAUGAUGAACAGAGAGGGUCUGGAAUUGCAUACCUCAUGCAUUUGUCUCAUUGCGUAGGGUCUAAAUAUAUUUCAUUUCAUUAAACCUAGAGAGUAGAACUAACAGAAGGAAUUUUGAGAAAGCGAAACGAUUCGGGUCUGGUGAAAAUGUUGUUCUGUCAAACCUGGGAUGGUUCCAUUGCUUUGUCCACAUGGUGUCCCCAUCCUUGACACUGACUGAAAGACUGCAGCUGCUGCAACGAGAACCUUCCCUCCUGCUCUCAGAUAAAAGCUGGCCUGAAAUGUCACAGAAUGAGAUGUUUUGUACAGACACUUUCUGAUUUCUGAUCUCUAUGUCUCUGCGGAGGAAUACUAAUAAACUAGCAAUGUAAGAGCA
ensembl:lncRNA